rnacentral:rRNA from 1 species
GACGAACGCUGGCGGCGUGCUUAACACAUGCAAGUCGAACGGUGAAGCGCCUUCCUUUUUGGUGGGUGUGGAUGAGUGGCGAACGGGUGAGUAACACGUGAGUAACCUGCCCCCUUCUUCUGGAUAACCGCAUGAAAGUGUGGCUAAUACGGGAUAUUCUGGGUCUGUCGCAUGAUGGGUCUGGGAAAGAUAUUGUUUCGGUGGGGGAUGGGCUCGCGGCCUAUCAGCUUGUUGGUGGGGUGAUGGCCUACCAAGGCGGUGACGGGUAGCCGGCCUGAGAGGGUGGACGGUCACACUGGGACUGAGGCACGGCCCAGCCUCCUACGGGAGGCAGCAGUGGGGAAUAUUGCACACUGGGCGCAAGCCUGAUGCAGCGACGCCGCGUGAGGGAUGGAGGCCUUCGGGUUGUGAACCUCUUUCGCCAGUGAAGCAGGCCUGCCUCGUUUGUGGGUGGGUUGACGGUAGCUGGAUAAGAAGCGCCGGCUAACUACGUG